AGGACUAACAGGAUUCCCCUAGUAACGGCGAGUGAAGCGGGAAGAGCUCAAAUUUGUAAUCUGGCGGUCUACGGCCGUCCGAGUUGUAAUCUGGAGAAGCGUUUUCGGUGCCGGUCCGCGUACAAGUCCCCUGGAACGGGGCGUCGCAGAGGGUGAGAAUCCCGUCUUUGACGCGGUACGCCGGUGCCAUGUGAUGCGCUCUCGAAGAGUCGAGUUGUUUGGGAAUGCAGCUCAAAACGGGUGGUAAAUUCCAUCUAAAGCUAAAUACUGGCGAAAGACCGAUAGCGAACAAGUACCGUGAGGGAAAGAUGAAAAGCACUUUGGAAAGAGAGUCAAACAGUACGUGAAAUUGUUGAAAGGGAAACGCUUGAAGUCAGUCGCGUCUCUCGGGACUCAGCCGAGACUUACCUCUCGGUGCAUUUCCCGAGUCUGGACGGGCCAGCAUCGGUUUCGACCGUCGUAAAAAGGCGUGAGGAAUGUGGCACCCUCGGGUGUGUUAUAGCCUCUCGUCGUAUGCGACGGACGGGACCGAGGAACGCAGCGCGCCCCUCUAGGGGCCGGGGUUCGCCCACGUAACGCGCUUAGGAUGCUGGCGUAAUGGCUUUAAGCGACCCGUCUUGAAACACGGACCAAGGAGUCUAACAUGCUCGCGAGUGUUCGGGUGGAAAACCCGUGCGCGUAAUGAAAGUGAAAGGUUGGGACCCCUCGUUUGGGGGCACCGACGCCCGGACUCGAGCUUCUGCAAAGGUUCCGAG
rnacentral:rRNA from 1 species